AGGGAAUCUUCCGCAAUGGACGAAAGUCUGACGGAGCAACGCCGCGUGAGUGAUGAAGGUUUUCGGAUCGCAAAGCUCUGUUGCCAGGGAAGAACGUCUUCUGGAGUAACUGCCAGGAGAGUGACGGUACCUGAGAAGAAAGCCCCGGCUAACUACGUGCCAGCAGCCGCGGUAAUACGUAGGGGGCAAGCGUUGUCCGGAAUUAUUGGGCGUAAAGCGCGCGCAGGCGGCUGCUUAAGUCUGGUGUAUAAUCCUGGGGCUCAACUCCGGGUCGCACUGGAAACUGGAUGGCUUGAGUGCAGAAGAGGAGAGUGGAAUUCCACGUGUAGCGGUGAAAUGCGUAGAGAUGUGGAGGAACACCAGUGGCGAAGGCGGCUCUCUGGUCUGUAACUGACGCUGAGGCGCGAAAGCGUGGGGAGCAAAC
rnacentral:rRNA from 1 species